rnacentral:rRNA from 1 species
UACGUAGGGUGCGAGCGUUGUCCGGAAUUAUUGGGCGUAAGGGGCUCGUAGGCGGUCUGUCACGUCGGGGGUGAAAACUCGGGGCUUAACCCCGAGCCUGCUUCCGAUACGGGCAGACUAGAGGUAUGCAGGGGAGAACGGAAUUCCUGGUGUAGCGGUGAAAUGCGCAGAUAUCAGGAGGAACACCGGUGGCGAAGGCGGCUCUCUGGGCCUUACCUGACGCUGAGGAGCGAAAGCGUGGGUAGCGAACAGG